rnacentral:rRNA from 1 species
ACGUAGGGUGCAAGCGUUGUCCGGAAUUACUGGGUGUAAAGGGAGCGCAGGCGGGAAGACAAGUUGGAAGUGAAAACCAUGGGCUCAACCCAUGAAUUGCUUUCAAAACUGUUUUUCUUGAGUAGUGCAGAGGCAGAUGGAAUUCCCGGUGUAGCGGUGGAAUGCGUAGAUAUCGGGAGGAACACCAGUGGCGAAGGCGGUCUACUGGGCACCAACUGACGCUGAGGCUCGAAAGCAUGGGUAGCAAACAG